rnacentral:lncRNA from 1 species
UUGGCAAAAUUUUGGUUUUUGUUUUCACAACUCUGCCUCAGGUGGUGAGCAUGGCUGGAGCCAUCUUUCCUGGAUGAACACAAAUGUGGCCAUCUUUUCCAGAAUCAUGGAACAAAUGCAGUUUGUGAACCAAGGUUGCACUGUAUGUGUAUCUGGCUGGUUUUCCCUUGAUAAGUCUGCCAGCUCUGAGACAUUUUGA